CUACGGGAGGCAGCAGUGGGGAAUCUUGCGCAAUGGGCGAAAGCCUGACGCAGCAACGCCGCGUGGGGGAUGAAGGCUCUCGGGUUGUAAACCCCUUUCAGCAGGGACGAAUCAAGACGGUACCUGCAGAAGAAGCCCCGGCUAACUACGUGCCAGCAGCCGCGGUAACACGUAGGGGGCAAGCGUUGUCCGGAUUUAUUGGGCGUAAAGAGCUCGUAGGUGGCUGAGUAAGUCGGGUGUUAAAUCCCCAGGCUCAACCUGGGACACCACUCGAUACUGCUCUGGCUAAAGUCCGGUAGGGGAGCGUGGACUUCCUGGCGUAGCGGUGAAAUGCGCAGAUAUCAGGAGGAACACCAGCGGCGAAGGCGGCGCUCUGGGCCGGUACUGACACUGAGGAGCGAAAGCGUGGGUAGCAAACAGGAUUAGAAACCCCAGUAGUCC
rnacentral:rRNA from 1 species